GGCAGCAUAGUGUAGUGGUUAUCACGUCAGCUUUACACGCUGAAUGUCGAGGGUUCGAACCCCUCUGCAGCCA